UUGCACCAGAUACGAGCCUGACAGUCUCUGUGGCUGCCAGGUUUCCGGUGGUGCGACAUCAUUGACAGCCCUGAAAUUUAAGCUUCUCAGUGAGGAGCGACACUGAGGAGUUAUGGCUCAGAGGCACAGAU